UACAGAGGGGGCAAGCGUUGUUCGGAAUUACUGGGCGUAAAAGGCUCGUAGGCGGCCAACUAAGUCAGACGUGAAAUCCCUCGGCUUAACCGGGGAACUGCGUCUGAUACUGGAUGGCUUGAGGUUGGGAGAGGGAUGCGGAAUUCCAGGUGUAGCGGUGAAAUGCGUAGAUAUCUGGAGGAACACCGGUGGCGAAGGCGGCAUCCUGGACCAAUUCUGACGCUGAGUGAGCGAAAGCCAGGGGAGCAAACGGG
rnacentral:rRNA from 1 species